UCAACUGCUUGCCAGCCAAUCGCAGGCCACACAGAAACAAACAACCGGAACUGUGAGGCAGACGCUGACCAGUCGUCCACCGUGCCGCCUUGAGUAAGCUUGCUUUGUUGAAAAUGGAUCGGUAGGAACUGUGUCAGGGUGUCAACAUCAAAGCUGGAUGAUGCGUGGCUGCUGCUCCGUUGAGCCCGGGAUCGAUAUACCGGAAACCAGUUCAAUCUGGGUGUGUCUGUGGUAUUACUGCUGCACUGUCGCCUGGAAGAAAAGAGAGACGAGAGCAGCGAUUACAGCAGAAGACGGCGAGGCCGAGCAAGCUCAACAAUACGACUGCGACAAAUGGCGGCCCACAACAACGCAACGCAGAGCAAGGCCGAGGAGGAUUGAUCCAAGACAAGACAAGAUAAUAGGGCUGACUUUAAGUUUUGGUCCAUUUUUUUCCCUACCCACUUCCACUCUAAUAAAUGCUUUCCCAGA